CGGCCUCUAGCUCAGUUGGUAGAGCACGGCACUUUUAAUGCUGGGGUCGUGGGUUCGAAUCCCACGAGGCCGACCA
rnacentral:tRNA from 1 species